GAAGGUAAAAAGCGUAACAAGGUCUCCGUUGGUGAACCAGCGGAGGGAUCAUUAAAGAGUGUAAAAACUCCCAAACCCCUGUGAACAUACCUACUGUUGCCUCGGCAGGCACAGGCUACCCGGGACUUCCGGGUGGGAAACACUACCCGGUACUUCCGGGUGUCCUACCCUGAACUUUCGGGUGCCCCAGCCUGCCGAAGGCCCUCGGAACUCUGUUUUAUCGUGGAACUCUGAAUUACAAAACAAACAAGUUAAAACUUUCAACAACGGAUCUCUUGGUUCUGGCAUCGAUGAAGAACGCAGCGAAAUGCGAUAAGUAAUGUGAAUUGCAGAAUUCAGUGAAUCAUCGAAUCUUUGAACGCACAUUGCGCCCAUUAGUAUUCUAGUGGGCAUGCCUGUUCGAGCGUCAUUUCAACCCUUAAGCCCUGUUGCUUAGUGUUGGGAGCCUACUGGCCCGGCCUGUAGCUCCUCAAAGUUAGUGGCGGAGUUAGCACUCACUCUAGGCGUAGUAACUACAAUCUCGCCUCUGUAGUGGUGCCGGCCCCUGCCGUAAAACCCCCUAAUUUUUCAAUGGUGACCUCGAUCAG
rnacentral:rRNA from 1 species